rnacentral:lncRNA from 1 species
CCCUUCUUUGUCUAGGGGAGAAGACCUUUCAAUAUUUUGCUCAGCUUCGAGGAUCCCAAAUCCAUUCUUAACAAGCACAGUUCCCAGCAACGGAAAAUUGUCAUGGGUUAAAUCAGGGCUGGCAGUAAGCUUCUCCUUCAUUAGUGACUGCGGAUUCACUGUUUGUUGCAUACCUUGGGUCUGUAACUCCUUUGAUUGUGGUAAUUGUAUUAUCGUGGGUCUCUCUCCAGUGGUAGCUCGUGGAAUAGGUCCCUUAACUUGCCAUUCAAAAGAGACUUUGGCAUGUUCUUUGUUCCUCCGAGGAAGGGGCCUGUGGGGUUCCUGUGGUGGCAAGCAGGUGUGGCCAACAACUUGACAUGUUUGACAAAAAUCAGGUCUCCAAUCAUAAACAACUUCUUGCAAGAACACUCGUCCACUAGGAUCCAUCACUGUUAUUUCUUCCGGUAGAUCAAUUGUUACAUUAACCUCAAUCAACAUUCGAGCAAAGGAAAUACGAGAUUGUUUUGUAGUGCAUUGAUCAGCAAAAAUAGGAGAACCUAUUGCACUAGCAAUUUGACUAAGUGAAUUCACUCCCCAGCAGUUCAUUGGUAAUUUUGGGAAUUUAACCCAUAAGGGAAUUUCAGUAGGAAACUCCACACUAAAAUCAAAUUCAGGAGUCCAAGGUUUAAGGAUAAGAGGUCGAUUGUUAACGGUGUAUGGCCCUGCAUAAAAUACCUCGUGCAUAUCCUCAAUUGAGUGACAUUUUAUCACAUAGUACCCUUCUUCAUGGAGAUACAGAUCAGGUGCUGCCACAUUUGCCCAAUGUUGUGCAAUAUACCUAGACAUAGCAUUAUAACCUGGUACUGGUCCAACGAAAUAAGCAAUUAAAGCACAUCUCCACUUAUCAGCUUCUUCUCCUAGUGGAAUAGGUCCCUUAACUUGCCAUUCAAAAGAGACUUUGGCAUGUUCUUUGUUCCUCCGAGGAAGGGGCCUGUGGGGUUCCUGUGGUGGCAAGCAGGUGUGGCCAACAACUUGACAUGUUUGACAAAAAUCAGGUCUCCAAUCAUAAACAACUUCUUGCAAGAACACUCGUCCACUAGGAUCCAUCACUGUUAUUUCUUCCGGUAGAUCAAUUGUUACAUUAACCUCAAUCAACAUUCGAGCAAAGGAAAUACGAGAUUGUUUUGUAGUGCAUUGAUCAGCAAAAAUAGGAGAACCUAUUGCACUAG